CUACAGACAUCACCACCAAGCAACUGAAGCGCUGAUCAAAGAGGGAGCCUGGCUGAAGGGAAACCAGCCAACCUGUGGUGGAGCUCUGGCUGCCCGAGAAAUGCAAGAUCAAGCCCUGUAUCGUAUUGUAUGCUUCGCAAUGACCAGAACUUACUGUGUAUGGAUACGAAAGCUUAUUAUUGGUCGCUGAUAAAAAUGUUAAAUAGCGUAAGGCCAAAACCAUUCCCUGAGGGAUCCAACUGGAAACACAUCCACUAGUGACAAUUCCCCGUUUACAGUCAGAGGGGAGGCAGGACCUAUGUGCACU